GAUGAACGCUGGCGGCGUGCUUAACACAUGCAAGUCGAGCGAGUCAAGUUUUCAACACUGAGUAUUCGGUAAUUAUAAAUGUAAGUAAAGCCAGCGUGAAGCACAUGCUUCAAGUGCUUCACGCGUUAUAAAAAGCUUGCUAACACAUAAGACUGAGUAUUGAGUGUUGGAAACUUGACUAGCGGCGGACGGGUGAGUAACGCGUGGGCAACCUGCCCUGUACAGAGGGAUAACAACGGGAAACCGUUGCUAAUACCUCAUAAUACCUUUCGGGGGCAUCCCCCUUUAGGUCAAAGAAUUUCGGUACAGGAUGGGCCCGCGUCUGAUUAGCUAGUUGGUGAGGUAAUGGCUCACCAAGGCGACGAUCAGUAGCCGACCUGAGAGGGUGAACGGCCACACUGGAACUGAGACACGGUCCAGACUCCUACGGGAGGCAGCAGUGGGGAAUAUUGCACAAUGGGCGAAAGCCUGAUGCAGCGACGCCGCGUG
rnacentral:rRNA from 1 species